UACGUAGGUGGCAAGCGUUAUCCGGAAUUAUUGGGCGUAAAGAGCGCGCAGGUGGUUAAUUAAGUCUGAUGUGAAAGCCCACGGCUUAACCGUGGAGGGUCAUUGGAAACUGGUUGACAUGAGUGCAGAAGAGGGAAGUGGAAUUCCAUGUGUAGCGGUGAAAUGCGUAGAGAUAUGGAGGAACACCAGUGGCGAAGGCGGCUUCCUGGUCUGCAACUGACACUGAGGCGCGAAAGCGUGGGGAGCAAACAGG
rnacentral:rRNA from 1 species